GUGGGGAAUCUUAGACAAUGGGGGCAACCCUGAUCUAGCCAUGCCGCGCGAGUGAUGAAGGCCUUAGGGUUGUAAAGCUCUUUCAGUGGGGAAGAUAAUGACGGUACCCACAGAAGAAGCCCCGGCUAACUCCGUGCCAGCAGCCGCGGUAAUACGGAGGGGGCUAGCGUUGUUCGGAAUUACUGGGCGUAAAGCGCACGUAGGCGGAUCGGAAAGUUGGGGGUGAAAUCCCAGGGCUCAACCCUGGAACUGCCUUCAAAACUAUCGGUCUGGAGUCCGAGAGAGGUGAGUGGAAUUCCGAGUGUAGAGGUGAAAUUCGUAGAUAUUCGGAGGAACACCAGUGGCGAAGGCGGCUCACUGGCUCGGUACUGACGCUGAGGUGCGAAAGCGUGGGGAGCAAACAGGAUUAGAAACCCUAGUAGUCC
rnacentral:rRNA from 1 species